rnacentral:tRNA from 1 species
UUCGGCCCGGACUUCAUUGUUGGUUGGAAACGUUUUCGGCAGGUUCGAUUGCC